rnacentral:ncRNA from 2 species
CUGCUUGCCAGACGGAUUGGUGCCGUGCCUCAUCAAGGCGCGGAUAAUAGGGAAGAGGGUGGGAAUCCCUCGCUGUCCCGCAACUGUAACAGGCGAUGAAAGCCGCUUUAUGCCACUGGGUUAAUCUGGGAAGGCGCGGCGAGUAAGAUGACCCUGGAGCCAGGAGACCUGCCAAACCGAUGCUUCAAUG